GUAAGUUCUCCUAAAUUCUCAACACGAAGGAAGUUUUUUUUGAAAUCAUCCCGCUUUGAAAUGUUCCCACGUAGUUCAAAGCAGAAUUCUGAGAAGUGAAAGAUGUUUAUCUCCAAAGGAAAGAAAGGCCAUUCGGGAAACCUUGUUAAUCAGCACCACUCUCAUCCAACCAUCUGCAGGCCUGCUCUGCCGCACUCUGACCCUUUCUGUUACCCAAGAGAGGUAUUAUUCACAGAGAUUUGGAUAUUUCUACCUAAAAAAUUUAUACAUUUUUUUUACGUUGUUUUUAUUUUCCAGUUGAAUGAGGGCAACUAUUGCUAGAUUGAUAGGUAUCCAUCUUCCCUAUGAUUUCCCAGUAAUCUAACUGAAAGGAGGUUGUGGUGAGGUGGGGGUUGGCCUGUUCUGCCAGGUAACAGCGAAAGGACAAGAGCGAAUGGCCUCAAGUAGCACCAGGAGAGGUUCAGGUUGGAUGUUUGAAACAUCUUCUCAGCAAGAGCAGUGAGGCAGUGGCACAGGCUGCCCAGGGAGGUGGUGGAGUCACCGUCCCUGGAGGUGUUCAAGAGCCGUGUGGAUGUGGCACUGAGGGACGUGGUCUAUAGCAGUCACAGGCAUGGGCUGAUGGUUGGACUUGAUGAUCUUAUUGAUCUUUCCAACCUUUAUGAAUCUAUGAACUCACACCUUACGCUUCCUACAUCAACAGCUUCUAACUUUUCCUCCUUUUUGCUUGAUGGACUGUUGCAGAACGUGAAGAAGGUAAUGGGUGCACUGUGUCUGUCCUUUACAAGGCAGUGGAGUGCUCCUUCCUCCUCUUGAGGUGUGACAGAUACUUCUGUCAUUUUUAUGUGCUGGGUUGUCAGUUAAGAGCACCUGCUUUUGAUAAGAGGUAUGUCACAGAUGGAAAUGACUCACUCGGAAGAGAGAGGCAGCAGGACAGUUUACUGCCAUUGUGACUGAACAAAGGUUGUGCAGUAUAACAAAAUUUGAUGACAUGAAUCGUCAUUUACCGCAUAGAGGAUGGGGUAAGUCAGGUGAUCUGGGGAGACCUCCUGUUGGGUCCUGUGGCUCAGAAGGAACCCCUUGCUUCCUAAACUCCUGCUUACAGGAGCCUGAGUGCAGUUGGACCCAGUCCUAGUCCCAGACUUUGUCAACGGUCUGUAUCUAAAACAUUAGAUGGAUUAGGUAUGGACUCAGCCCUGGUGAGGCCACACUUCAAGUACUGUGUUCAUUUUUGGGCGCCUCAUUAGAAGAAAGGCAGGAGGCCCUGGAGCAUUUCCAGAGAAGGGCAAUGAAGCUGUGAGGGGUCGGGAGGACAAGUCUGAUGGGGAGGAAACUGGACUGUGGGAACUGGGAUUGUUCAGUCAGGAAAAGAAGAGCUAUCAGCCUAUAGCACAGUGCCAUGAAACACAGAGCAGCAGUAAAUGAACCUGGUUUUGUCUUUUCUUGCCCACUUAAUCCACCCUCUGCUCUUUCUCCUUGAUUCAGGAAAUGGAAUUGUAAUUAAGAAGGAAAAAAAGGUCUUUAUCUGGAAGUAGUCCUCUUGUUAACAAUUGCAAAACAGAGCCCCUUAACAACUCGCUCCAUCCAUUAACACCCAGGUGCUGGCUCCCAGCUCUGCCUGCUGAGGGCAUUCAUUCACCCACAG
rnacentral:lncRNA from 1 species